GAUGAACGCUGGCGGCGUGCUUAACACAUGCAAGUCGAACGAAGCACUUUAACCUGAUUCUUCGGAUGCAGGUUUUUGUGACUGAGUGGCGGACGGGUGAGUAACGCGUGGGUAACCUGCCUCAUACAGGGGGAUAACAGUUAGAAAUGACUGCUAAUACCGCAUAAGACCACAGAGCCGCAUGGCUCGGUGGGAAAAACUCCGGUGGUAUGAGAUGGACCCGCGUCUGAUUAGGUAGUUGGUGGGGUAACGGCCUACCAAGCCAACGAUCAGUAGCCGACCUGAGAGGGUGACCGGCCACAUUGGGACUGAGACACGGCCCAAACUCCUACGGGAAGCAGCAGUGGGGAAUAUUGCACAAUGGGGGAAACCCUGAUGCAGCGACGCCGCGUGAGCGAAGAAGUAUUUCGGUAUGUAAAGCUCUAUCAGCAGGGAAGAAAAUGACGGUACCUGACUAAGAAGCACCGGCUAAAUACGUG
rnacentral:rRNA from 1 species